GGGUGACAGGUGGUGCAUGGUUGUCGUCAGCUCGUGUCGUGAGAUGUUGGGUUAAGUCCCGCAACGAGCGCAACCCUCGACCUUAGUUGCCAGCAUUCGGUUGGGCACUCUAAGGUGACUGCCGGCUAAAAGUCGGAGGAAGGUGGGGAUGACGUCAAAUCAUCAUGCCCCUUAUGACCUGGGCUACACACGUGCUACAAUGGGCGGUACAAAGGGUCGCGAACCCGCGAGGGGGAGCCAAUCCCAAAAAGCCGCUCUCAGUUCGGAUUGCAGGCUGCAACUCGCCUGCAUGAAGCCGGAAUCGCUAGUAAUCGCGGAUCAGCAUGCCGCGGUGAAUACGUUCCCGGGCCUU
rnacentral:rRNA from 1 species